AUGCUCUUCUUACCUCAUUUAGGUAGCAAGAGAAGCUGCUCCAAAGCUGCCUUACUCCCAGGUUGUGGGAGCAGAACCAAGACGUUCCGAUCCCUUGAGGAAGAGAAUGGCUCAGCACGAGGGGGCCUCACCCAGAGCCCUGGGUCUGUUCUGAGCCCCUCACCUAAAGAAGGACAUUGCCACUGGAUCAUGGUACUGUGGGCUGAGCAGAUGAUUGAUAGGACAUCACUGGGCCUGGCUCCAGAAGAACUGGAACAAGAUCUUGCCCCUCUCUGGGCCUCAGUUUCCCUAUCUGUACCACAGGGCAUUGACCUCUGCAUGUUCUUCGAGACCUCUUCCAGUUCUGCUUGGUUUGCAACAGGGUUAGUAACCCUGGGAAUGGGAGAGAGGGAGACACUUGACGCCGAUGCUCCAUGGAACAGUUGUCAAGGCUGA
rnacentral:lncRNA from 13 species